UUGAAUGGCCGCGGUAUUUUGACCGUGCUAAGGUAGCAUAAUCAUUAGUUUUUUAAUUGAAAACUAGAAUGAAGGGUUGAAUGAAAAAAAAACUGUCUCUAUUUAAUUUUUUUAAAAUUUUAUUUUUUAGUUAAAAAGCUUAAAUAAUUUUAAAAGACGAGAAGACCCUAUAGAGUUUAAUAAAUAUUAUUUUAAUUAUUUUAUAUUUUAAUUUAAUUAUUUAUUUAAUUGGGGGGAUUGAAAAAUUAAAUAAACUUUUUUUAAAUUUUUUAUAUUUAUAUAUAGUUAAUUGAUCCAAUAAAAUUGAUUAUAAGAUUAAAUUACCUUAGGGAUAACAGCAUAAUUUUAUUGGAGAGUU
rnacentral:rRNA from 1 species